UUAGAGUGCCUAGGACAGCACAAGGGUUACAGAAUGAAACAAAUCUUUCCCUUUCAGCUUUUUACUUCAGGGUUCACCACAGAGAAUCAGCUUAACCCGGGACUCAACCAUAUCAUAGGUCUGGUUUGGUUUGGUAAAGAUUUUACGUCGGAUGCCCUCCCUGACACAGCGCACUGUAUUUAGCCGGGCUUGGGACAAGCACCAUGAGACCCUUGUUUGGUCCACUUGUGGCUACAUAAAGAAUGCAGCAGCUAAAUCGGGAAACACUAUACAAAAUAAAUGAACCCUUUAUUUUAUUUCAAGCCAUGUAUUUUUGAAUCUAUGACUAUUAGAUGAUCUCCCGAGUUUCUCCUUUUUAAAUACCAGUACACAUUUGGACAACAAAACACCUGUGAAGUUUUAAAGUUAAAUGUCUUUUCUUUUCAGGUUUAUGUGACCAAAUCUUAAUCGUGCAAAUGUUUUUUCCUUAAUCUCUUCAUUGUUUCUACUCUACUGUUCAUGGCAUAAAAUGAAUGGGUAAAUAGGUUCACUAGAAAAGGUAAAAUGCCAACCUGGCAACCACAGACUUUACCAGAGUAACUAGCUGACACUUAGGAGCUGUGGUGAUUGGAAAUGUAAACCUGGUGUGAUCCUGACAAAGAGCUGAAGAAGACUCCAAAGGAUCAGCACAUUCUAAGAUGUGUUUUGGGUCAUGUCCUCUAAGAGCCAGAAAAAGCUGUUCUAAAUUUAUACUCUGUUGCCUGCUGUGCUGCAGCUGCUAACUUGUUUUCAGUCCUCAAUUUUUAGCGGUUAUUCCUCCAGUUCGCAAAAAAUGUCAACAAUUGGAGAGGUCAUCGAGUGCAAAGCAGCAGUGGCCUGGGAGCCCAACAAGGCUGUGGAGAUUGAGGUAGCACCCCCACAGGAAAAUGAAGUCCGCAUCAAGAUUGUGGCGACGUCUGUCUGUCACUCAGACCUGUACCACCUUUUUGAGUACAUGCACCCAGAAGGCUUUCCAACUGUCCUCGGCCACGAGGCUGCUGGGACUGUGGAGAGUGUCGGACCUGGAGUCACUGAGUUUCAGCCAGGAGACAAAGUGAUCCCUAUUUUCCUCUGUCAGUGCAGAGAAUGUCGCUUUUGUAAAAGUCCCAAGACGAACCAAUGUGAACUUGCAUGGACCCGAGUUUGUCAGAAAAUAAUGGCCUCUGUAGAAUCCAGGUUUACCUGCAGAGGUAAGAGGGUGCUGCAGUUUAUGGGAACCAGUACCUUCUCGGAGUACACUGUGGUUCAUCAGAGUGCAGUGGCCAAGAUCGACCCUGCUGCUCCUCUGGACAAAGUCUGCCUCCUUGGAUGUGGGAUCUGCACUGGUUACGGAGCAGCGGUGAACACUGCAAAGGUUGAGCCGGGCUCCACAUGUGCAGUCUUUGGUCUGGGAGCAGUGGGUUUGGCUGCAGUCAUGGGCUGCAAAGAUGCAGGAGCCAAAAGGGUCAUCGCUGUGGACAUCAACUCUGAGAAAGCUGAGAAGGCCAAAGCAUUUGGUGCAACUGACUUUGUGAACCCCAAAGAUCACAACAUACCCAUCAAUCAAGUCCUGGCAGAGAUGACCAACGGAGGAGUGGACUACUCCUUGGAAUGUGUCGGAAAAGUGGAAGUCAUGCGUUCUGCAUUAGAGUCCUGCAUAAAAGGCUGGGGCGUCUCUGUGAUUGUUGGCUGGACGGAUGUUUAUAGCAUCAGUCAAACCACUGAACCUCCUUUGUGGACGUACUUGGAAAGGUUGCAUGUUUGGAGGUUUCAAAAGUAAAGAUGGUGUAGCUCAAAUGGUUAAAGCCUACAUGGAUAAGAAGCUGCUGGUGGAUGAAUUUAUCACUCACAACAUGACUUUGGAUCACAUCAAUGAUGCCAUUGAACUGAUGAAAGACAGUAACUGCAUCCGGACUGUGAUAAGUUUGUCUCCAGAAUAACCCAUCUUUGAGAUCAUUAUGCCCAUUUGGUUGAAUUGCUGCAUUAUGGAGCCUGUUUGCACAUGGGAGAUGAAGACGAGCAAAUGCUUUUCCUGACUUCUGUCCACAUGCUGGUCAUAAGUGAAAAUGUCCAACCUAAUGGGAAAUGAGUAAAUGGCAACUACAACUCAA